GUCAUAGUUCCAGCCACAGGGAGACCCAUAUAGCAUAAUUAAUACAAAAUUUGUCUCUAGAGUCAGACUCCCUGGGUUUAAACCUUCUUUUACCAUUUUCUAGCUACGUAUCCUGGUACAAGGUAAUAAACCUCUCUGUGCUUCAGGUUCCUCACUUAGGAAAUGAAGAAAAUAACCUAUGGAGUUGUGAAGAUUGAUGACAUAAACGUCUGCUGGAAGCUGAGAAGAGUGUGUCUCUGGCACGUACUGUAUGAUCACUAGAAGUCAGCCGUGACUCACUGGCUCAGCCUGGGUGUAUUUUCACUUUGCUGCAGACCUAGUUCCAGAAGAGAAAGAUCCACUGAAUGUCAGAGAAGACUGCAACUACAGGCAGUCCAAGGAAAUGAGAACAGCAUGGAGUUUGCAUUCAUCCCUGACCUGAGUUCAGAGUUCAAGGAGGGAGCAGUCCAGAUGACAAACUUCAAUGAGAAAAGAGUGCUGAGAAGAAGAGCAUCUUUUCUGUGAACCAUGUGAGGGGCUUGUUGCCCAAAUUUCCCCAGUAAAAAACCUGUUCUUGGAACAUCUCUUCCUACA